CUGCCUUCAGACCACUGGGUCCCAGCUCAUAGGAAAACAAAACAGGAUGGGCCCGGGACAGCUAAGCCCUCAGGAGUUUUCAACCUGCCUCAACCUUGGAGGCUAUCCAAGCUAGAGAACCCUCUGGCCCAGCUCUAUCUGAGGAUUGUUUCUCAAAACACAACCAAGCCCAGAAGAAAUUCUUUCCCAGAAUCCCCUCCCCAACCUCUCCUAGAUCUGCCUGGUGAGCCUCCCGCCAACCACAGCCCUAGCCAAUCUCAAACCUGAGGCGGGCCUUCCAGAGCUUUGAUUGGUUGGCUGGGCCUUCUAGACCUGGAAUGUUGAGUCCUUAACAAAGGAAUGAGGAAGGAAGACCCUGGACUUCCCAUCCCAGAAUCCCCUCGAUGGCAAAUGACUGUGUUUCACGUUUCCUCUCCCAUCUCUGACUGUACACCUAUCUCUUAUUAAUUUAUUGUGUUUGUUAGCGUGCCAUGGUGCAUGCUUAGAGGUCAGGGGACGAUUCUGUGGAGUCGAUCUCUACUUCUACCUUUCCAUAGGUUUUGGUCUCAAACUCAGGUUGCCAGGCGUCUUGGCAAGCGCUUCACUGGCUAAGCCAUCUCGCCGGCUUCUACCCAUCUGUUCUAAAUAAUAAUAAUAAUAAUAAUAAUAAUAAUAAUAAUAAUAAUAAUAAUAAUGUCCCCUUCCAGCCCAAAGCGGCUGUAAAAUUCCCCCGUGGGCCCUUGGGACACUUAAACGCCCACCGAAGUCCUAAAAAGAAUACCAUGUAAACUCACCUGCAGUGCCAUCUUCACAAGGCUGUCUGGCAAACAAAACUUAACCCUCCUUUAUCCGCCCCUCCUCAGGCUUCUCCAAUUCACCUGUGCUUGGAAAGGUCUUUCCCGCAGGUCUCCAUCCCUUUCAGCACCCCCCUUCCACCUUCCUUAACCUAGGAAAAGUGCUCCUGCUGUCCCUUCUAGUCUGGUAGUCUGGUGAGCUAGCUGCUUGGCAGGCCCUCCUCUCACCUUCCUUCCCCUGCGCCAUCUGGACAGUUCUCAAUCUCCACCUCCACCCGCAAUUCAGCCACCAGCUCAUCCUUCUUCCUCCAGUUUUUGGAUGAUGCCAGCAAAGACCCUCCAAUCUCUCCCCGCAUCUGCCACUACGCUUGCGAACCGGACCCUCAGCAGGUGGGCGUGUGUAUUCUCAGCGCGAAGGUGGGACGCUGCUUCCACCUUCGCGCCUGUCUCCUCCGGACGCACUGGCUUGCUGGUUUGGGUUCUAAAGGUACUUUUCCUCACCAGCAUCUGAGUUCCUGCGGGGAUGCAGAGCUGGCGUGGAACGCGCUCAGCAAAUGUAUAUGCGCAGCUGUGUGAGUUGGGAUUGUGCAAACUCUAUUGAACACCUUAUUUCGGCAUCGAUAAUCGUGUUAGCCAAGGACAGGGGUCGAGUCUGGGGCCCUACGACUCCGCUUCAGGGCAGAGUUGGGGUGAGGGAUGGAUAGCGGAGUCCGCCGGACGCAAGGCCGGUGUGGCACAGUGGUGCCCUACGCUGAGAGCCAGGGUGCCUCGGACCAGACGCGGGGACGAGAGCAGAGGCCCCUGGAGCUGAGAGGCAGAGGUGCUAGAGUGGGUCCCGAGUCCGUGUACCCCCCACAGGAGCUCCCUGCCCCCGGCUGGGCAGGAUGUGGUGGCAGCUGCAGUUGGGUGGGCAGGAUGUGGGGGUGGGGGCAGACGAGCGCAGCCCGACAGUAGUCUCCCCCAGCUCUUGCCUCCACCCCCUCCGGGUCACGUGCUCUCAGCUUGGGCAUCGACGGACUAUUUCCCAUUUUCCGCGGAAGGACAUCUGAAACCCGUUGUCAUGAACUCAAGUUGUACCACGCCAUUUUCUUGCCCCCAUCUCCAGCCUAGGACAAAAAGUUUGCCCAGCACAAAUUUCUUUAAAGCGAGGAUUAACUCGGAAGAGGCCCCUUUAAAUGCAAAUGACUCGCCUUCUUGCUCCGCUCCUCCCAACCCCCAUCCCAACUUCUCUCCUCGUGCCCAAACUCCAGCAGCUGCUAUUGACGUCAAUCGUGCGUCAGCAUAGCCAGCCCAACCAGACAGCACGUGGGGGGAAGAAGGCGAUCUUAAAGCGACAGUCGCUCAGGGCCUGUUAGGUUGCCGGAGAAAGGAAAAGUCAAGUGGAAUGUUGGAAACAGUUGGAGCAGGAAGAAAUGCAGGGGAGACUUUCAGAAGGACCGCAUAAGGCCAGCGAAGUGGCUCAGGGGAUUAAAGGUGCUGUGCAAGCCCGAGAAUCAGCUCCCCAAAAUUAUCCUUUGACCUUCACAUACAUCAUUUUCUUCCUUCCCCAAACGUACAGUACUAAUAAAUCUGUUUUAAAAAGACUUCUCAGAAUAGGCCUUUAAUAAGCAGCUAGACUCCACUGGUCAAGGUACUCGGACCCAGCAGGCUGGAACCUCAGCAGGUUUGUUGUGACAAUGAGCUCCCACAUGUGGCACCUGCUAGCUGCCAGUCUUCUGCCAUUCAUCCUGGUAUGGCCCCACCUCCUGCAGCCCCCUCUUCUAAGAGGAGAUGGAAGCUGAAAUCCUGGUCUUAUAUGCUCCAGACCUAAGCCAGGGCUGACUGCUGAGGGGGGUACACGAAGCUCUGAGAAAGCCUCUUGUUUAGAGAAAGAGUUGGAGACAAAAAGGGUGUAAGUGUUUUUUCUCUUCAUCCUUGCUUUAUGCCACCACACUGCUCACUAGGGCUUGGAGGCUCUCGGACAAGGAAACUUGAAGAUCAUAGAGGCCAAUGAGUACACCCAUGCCCAUCCAGCAACAAGUGGCUGUGGAGCCAGAUGGCCCCUCAUGCCUAGGAUCCCAGCUUUCCCAAGGCUGAGGCAGGAGGACUGCUGAGAAGCCAAAGCUAGUGAGACUGUGUCUCAGAAAACAAAAGGAAAACCCAGAAAGUAGCUGUGGGAUUCCAGUUCCGUACUGCAUGUGAGCAGACAGGAGUGAUAGGGACAGGGAAAAACCAGCUGGGACCUUAUCACUGCUGAGGAAGACAGCCAGCACCCCAUGAUCAUAGUGACAUAUCCAGAGAUGGUGGGGGGCAAGUACUGAGUUUAACAAGUCUUUCUCGAUGGGCGUUGGUGGGGCACGCCUUUAAUCCCAGCACUCGGGAGAGGCCAGCCUGGUCUCCAGAGCAAGUGCCAGGAUAGGCUCCAAAGCUACACAGAGAAACCCUGUCUUGAAAAACAACAACAAAAACAAACAAACAAAAAACAAACAAACAGCUCCCACCAGCUCCCUAAUAAUGACAUGGAGACUUCUUAUUAAUUAUGAAAGCCCGGUCUAUAGCUUAGGCUUGUUUUUAACAAGUUCUUAAAACUUAAAUUACAUUAGCCCAUCUGUAUUGAUCUACAUUCUAUCACAUGACUCAUGGUUGUCACCUCUCUUCCCGCACAUCCUGCUUGCUCUGUGUCUCUAUCUUUCCCUUCCCAGAGUCCUCUGUGUUCCCAGAAGUCCCACCUGUACCUCCUGUCUAGGUAUUGACCAUUUAGCUCUUUAUUACACCAAUCAUAGCAAUACCUCUUCACACAGUGUACAAAUACCCCGUAUCACUGAAGCAUACUUAGAACGAGACCUUACAAGCACAUGGUGAAGGUGUCACCAAGAAAAAACAAAAAAGAAGGGCGGAAUGAUUGCUGCUCUUCCAGAGGACUGGAAUAAUUCAGUUCCCAGUAGCCAGGUCAUAUGUGGUGGUUUGAAUGAGAACUGUCUCUAUAGGUUCAUAUAUUUGAACGCUUGGUCCCCAGCUGGUGGAACUGUUUGGGAAGGAUUAGGAGGUGUGGCCUUGUUGGAGGAGGUGUGUCACUGGGGGUGGGCUUUGAGGUUUCAAAAGCCCACAGCAUUCCCAGUUAGGACUCUCUCUCUGCCUGGUACUUGUGGAUCAAGAUAUAAGCUCUCAGUUACUGCCCCAGCACCAUGCCUGCCUGUUGGCUGCAAUACUGCCUGACAUGAUGGUCAUGGACACACUCUCUGAAACUGUAAGCCCAAUAAACUCUUUCUUCUCUACGUUUCCUUGGUCAUGGUGUCUUCACAACAAUAGAAAGGUAAGAUAUUGGGGCUGGAGAGAUGGCUCAGAGGUUAAGAGCACUGGCUGAUCUUCCAGAGGUCCUGAGUUCAAGUCCCAGCAAACAGAUCUGGUGCCCUCUUCUGGCAUAUAGGCAUAUAUACAGACAGAACACUG
rnacentral:lncRNA from 1 species